rnacentral:rRNA from 1 species
UACAGAGGUCCCGAGCGUUGUUCGGAUUCAUUGGGCGUAAAGGGUGCGUAGGUGGCGCCGUAAGUGGGGUGUGAAAUCCCGGGGCUUAACCCCGGGACUGCAUUCCAUACUGCGGUGCUUGAGGACUGGAGAGGAGACUGGAAUUUACGGUGUAGCAGUGAAAUGCGUAGAUAUCUGGAGGAACACCGGUGGCGAAGGCGGCAUCCUGGACCGAUACUGACGCUGAGGAGCGAAAGCCAGGGGAGCAAACGGG